CCAGGAUGUGGAUGAUGCGUCCAUCUCAAACCAGGAGUCUACAUUGGGGUAUUGUCGUAAGACAGUGCACCGAGGUCACUAAGAAAGGGUGUACUGCCCCAGGCUGGUUUACAGAGCAGGGAAAAGCCUUCGCUCUUGGUAGUGGGAGGAUCUCGUAUCAGAAUCCUG
rfam:Phytophthora parasitica INRA-310 unplaced genomic scaffold supercont2.592, whole genome shotgun sequence.